rnacentral:misc_RNA from 1 species
GGUUUAUGCAUUGUCAUUUGGAGCUCCACACUGGCUGGGGACUGAAAACAGCAUUUGUGGUGGAAGAUGGACCUGGGCCUGAUCAAUCCAUUCUGCCUCCACCUAAGGAUCUUCCGGCUUGUUAGCUACUUAGAAUCUUAUUCAACAAGGCAAUUGUAUAUUUUAAAUAUUUUCUUUGUUAAACGUUAGAACCAUACUAAUGCAUGCUUCCUUCAAAAGUUGGAGGAGGUUCCUUGAGAGAUUGGAUGGUUUGUUUGAGACCCAAACUGUAAUAAGCUACAGCAAAUGUAAUAUAAAAAUUAAUACAUAUGUUUGGAAAUUUG